GACGAACUGUGCAAACGUUAUUCGGAAUCACUGGGCUUGAAGAGUGCGUAGGCGGUUUCGUAAGUAGGGUGUGAAAGCCCCCAGCUCAACUGGGGAACUGCGUCCUAAAUUGCGAGGCUGGAGUGAGGUAGGGGUGUGUGGAACUUCCGGUGGAGCGGUGAAAUGUGUUGAUAUCGGAAGGAACGCCGGUGGCGAAAGCGACACACUGGGCCUUGUCUGACGCUGAGGCACGAAAGCCAGGGGAGCAAACGGG
rnacentral:rRNA from 1 species